UCCGGUUUAACACCGGCAGUCUCGCUAAAGUGCCCGGCAUGACCCGAUGGCAACUAGCGACAAGGGUUUCGCUCGUUAAGGGACUUAACCCGACAUCUCACGACACGAGCUGACGACAGCCAUGCAGCACCUGUGCAUGUUCCACGGCAAGCCGCGUCACCAAUGUUUCCAAAAUGGCUAAUCCAUGCAUGUCAAACCCGGGUAAGGUUCUUCGCGUUGCUUCGAAUUAAGCCACAUCCUCCACCGCUUGUGUGAGCCCCCGUCAAUUCCUUUGAGUUUUAGCCUUGCGGCCGUACUUCCCAGGCGGCGCACUUAACGCUUUUGUUUCGGCUCUCAUACUGUCAGAAGUAUAAAAGCCUAGUGCGCAUCGUUUACGGCGUAGACUAC
rnacentral:misc_RNA from 1 species